rnacentral:rRNA from 1 species
GGUCAAGCUACUAAGGGCGCAGGGCGGAUGCCUUGGUGCCAGGAGGCGAUGAAAGACGUGGUUAGCUGCGAUAAGCUUCGGGGAGCCGCUAAACAGGCUUAGAUCCGGGGAUUUCUGAAUGGGGGAACCCAUCUCGAGUCAUGUCGAGAUAUCACUAUCUGAAUUCAUAGGGUAGUGAGGCGAACGAGGGGAACUGAAACAUCUAAGUACCCUCAGGAAAAGAAAACGACAGUGAUUCCCUAAGUAGUGGCGAGCGAACGGGGAAAAGCCCAAACCGGGAGUACUUCGGUAUUUCCGGGGUUGAGGGACCUCAACGUGGGAUUGACAAUGGGUAGGUGAACGGUUUGGAAAGACCGGCCAUAGGGGGUGAUAGCCCCGUAACCGAAACCUGGAGUCACCCUAGAGGUAUCCCGAGUACUGCGGGACACGUGAAAUCCCGCAGGAAUCAGGGGGGACCAUCUCCCAAGGCUAAAUACUACCUGGCAACCGAUAGUGAACUAGUACCGUGAGGGAAAGGUGAAAAGCACUCCGAAAGGAGAAUGAAAUAGUACCUGAAACCGUGCGCCUACAAGGUGUGGAAGGACCAGGAAUGGAGCAAUCCAUUCGGUCUGACUGCGUGCCUUUUGUAUAAUGAGUCAGCGAGUUACUCUAUGUAGCGAGGUUAAGCCGUCAGGUGGAGCCGUAGCGAAAGCGAGUCUUAAUAGGGCGAUUGAGUUGCAUGGAGUAGACCCGAAACCAGGUGAUCUAUUCAUGGCCAGGGUGAAGCGCAUGUAACAGUGCGUGGAGGCCCGAACCGGUGUGGGUUGAAAACCGCUCGGAUGAGCUGUGAAUAGGGGUGAAAGGCCAAUCAAACUUGGAAAUAGCUGGUUCUCCCCGAAAUAUAUUUUGGUAUAGCCUUGCAACUUUAAGUAUCGGAGGUAGAGC